UGCCUAACACAUGCAAGUCGAACGAGAAAGUCCCGCAAGGGAUGAGUAAAGUGGCGCACGGGUGAGUAACACGUAGGUAACCUGCCUCUAAGACCGGGAUAACCCGUCGAAAGAUGGGCUAAUACCAGAUAAGACCACAGUUCCUUCGGGAACAGGGAUCAAAGGUGGCCUCUGCUUGCAAGCUAUCACUUAGAGAUGGGCCUGCGCACCAUUAGCUAGUUGGUAGGGUAACGGCCUACCAAGGCAAAGAUGGUUAGCUGGCCUGAGAGGGCGACCGGCCACACUGGAACUGAGACACGGUCCAGACUCCUACGGGAGGCAGCAGUGGGGAAUAUUGCGCAAUGGGCGAAAGCCUGACGCAGCGACGCCGCGUGGGUGAUGAAGGCCUUCGGGUCGUAAAGCCC
rnacentral:rRNA from 1 species